GACGAACGCUGGCGGCGUGCCUAACACAUGCAAGUCGAACGGGACUGGGGGCAACUCCAGUUCAGUGGCGGACGGGUGCGUAACACGUGCGGAACAUGACUUUCGGUGGGGGAUAGCCGGCCCAACGGCCGGGUAAUACCGCGUACGACCUGUCGGGGACAUCCCCGGGUGGUGAAAGCAGCCAGGCGCCGAAAAAGUACCUCGCGGCCUAUCAGCUAGUUGGUGGGGUAAUGGCCCACCAAGGGGACGACGGGUAGCUGGUCUGAGAGGAUGGCCAGCCACAUUGGGACUGAGACACGGCCCAGACUCCUACGGGAGGCAGCAGUGGGGAAUAUUGCGCAAUGGGCGAAAGCCUGACGCAGCGACGCCGCGUGUGGGAUGACGGCCUUCGGGUUGUAAACCACUGUCGGGAGGGACGAAUGCCCCGCAAGGGGAGUGACGGUACCUCCAAAGGAAGCACCGGCUAACUCCGUGCCAGCAGCCGCAGUAACAC
rnacentral:rRNA from 1 species